rnacentral:rRNA from 1 species
GACCCACAUAAGAGGUCCAGCCUGCCCAGUGACUCUGUUCAACGGCCGCGGUAUCCUAACCGUGCGAAGGUAGCGUAAUCACUUGUUCUUUAAUUGUGGACUAGUAUGAAUGGCACCACGAGGGUUAUACUGUCUCCUUUUUCUAAUCAGUGAAACUAAUCUCCCCGUGAAGAAGCGGGGAUAUGACUAUAAGACGAGAAGACCCUAUGGAGCUUUAAACAUUUAUAGCAAUUACCGUACAACAUACAACUUCCUGAACACUUAUUCUUAAGGUAGUGUGACUACAAGUUUUUGGUUGGGGUGACCACGGAGCAUAAAACAACCUCCAUAUUGAAAGAAAACAUUUCUAAGCUAAAACCUACACGUUUAGGCAUCAGCACACUGACAUUCAUUGACCCAAUAUAUUUGAGCAACGAACCAAGUUACCCUAGGGAUAACAGCGCAAUCCACUUUAAGAGCCCUUAUCGACAAGUGGGUUUACGACCUCGAUGUUGGAUCAGGGUAUCCCAGUGGUGUAGCCGCUACUAAAGGUUCGUUUGUUCAACGAUUAAAACCCUACGUGAUCUGAGUUCA